UUCAGGAAUUGGCCAAACAAUCUCUUGAAGAAGUCCCAGUUUGAUACAUUCGCAAUGAUCUGGACCCAUUAAUCACUAACCUCUCUGAUGUAUCUUUGACAGAUCAAACAGUACCUGUUAUUGAUUUGCAGAAAUUACUAUCUCCAGAACUCAUCGUUGGUGAGUUAGAAUUGGACAACCUUCACUCUGCUUGCGAGGACUGGGGUUUCUUUCAGGUAUGUCAUGACACUUCAAUUAUGAUUAUAUAUUGCGUAUAUAUAGUAACUUUUUUUUUUAUAUCUAUUGUCAGUUAAAAUUAUUAGGAAUUCCUCUAUUAGUUAUGGUAUUGUUAUAACAAAUUAGUAUAGGUAUUGCACGUACACUAAUCUGUUUUAUGAUGUAGUUGGUAAACCAUGGAGUUGACAUUUUAUUGGUGGAGAAAGUGAAAUCAGAAAUUCAAGGUUUCUUCAAUCUUCCAGUAGAUGAGAAAAAAGAAAUUUUGUCAAGAGGAAGGAGAUUUCGAAGGAUUUGGAAAAAUGUUCGUUCAAUCAGAAGAACAAAAGCUUGAUUGGGGAGAUAUGGUUUUCAUUCUCACUCAACCCCAACAUAUGAGGAAGCCUAAGCUAUUUUCCAAACAACCUCUGCCUCUCAGGGAGACAAUCGAAUCCUAUUCAUUGGAGUUGAUUAAACUAGGCUUGACUCUCAUUGGUUUGAUGGAAAAGGCUCUACAAAUGGAUGCCGGGGUUAUGGCAGAGUUGUUUGAAGAUGGGAUACACACAAUGAGGAUGAAUUUUAUUAUCCUCCUUGUCCUCAGCCCGAGCACGUCAUCGGCUUAACACCACAUUCAGAUGGUGGUGGUUUAACGAUUCUCCUUCAACUAAGCGAAGUGGAUGGAUAAUGGAUUAUAGAUUAGAAGAGAAAAUAUAUGGGUUCCCAUUAAACCUCUACCUAAUGCCUUCGUAGUGAACAUUGGAGAUAUUUUGGAGAUUUUGAGCAAUGGGAUUUACCAUAGCGUGGAGCACCGAUCAACAAUAAACGCGACAAAGGAGAGGCUCUCUGUUGCAACUUUUCAGAACCCUAAACAAGAAUCCGUAAUAGGUCCCAACAUGAUUACACCAGAGAGACCUGCCUUGUUCAGAAAAAUUGUGUACAAGGAUUAUAUGUAAAAAAUUGUUUCGCGUAAACUCGAUGGAAAAUCAUUCCUCGACUCCAUGAGGAUAGGAGAAGGUGAUGAAAGACCGUAACCAGCGUGUAUUACUGGUGUUUUUAUGCAGUUCCUCCGAAAUAAAUACAUGUGUAUAUCUGAUAUUAAUGAACUGCAAUCAUCAAAUUUACACCA